rnacentral:rRNA from 1 species
GACGAACGCUGGCGGCGUGCCUAAUACAUGCAAGUAGAACGCACAGUUUAUACCGUAGCUUGCUACACCAUAGACUGUGAGUUGCGAACGGGUGAGUAACGCGUAGGUAACCUGCCUGGUAGCGGGGGAUAACUAUUGGAAACGAUAGCUAAUACCGCAUAAUAUUAAUUAUUGCAUGAUAAUUGAUUGAAAGAUGCAACUGCAUCACUACCAGAUGGACCUGCGUUGUAUUAGCUAGUAGGUGAGGUAACGGCUCACCUAGGCGACGAUACAUAGCCGACCUGAGAGGGUGAUCGGCCACACUGGGACUGAGACACGGCCCAGACUCCUACGGGAGGCAGCAGUAGGGAAUCUUCGGCAAUGGACGAAAGUCUGACCGAGCAACGCCGCGUGAGUGAAGAAGGUUGUCGGAUCGUAAAGCUCUGUUGUAAGAGAAGAACGGGUGUGAGAGUGGAAAGUUCACACUGUGACGGUAUCUGACCAGAAAGGGACGGCUAACUACGUG